UGGUUUUAGAAGAAGUCAUCAGAAGC
rnacentral:piRNA from 1 species